AGCAGCCAAAGCUUCAACACAAGUUUCAUGUCACAUUAAACAUGUUCAGAACAAGAUUGUGUACAGCCUGUGGGUGAAGUGAAGGAGGACAGUCAACAGAUCAUGUGUGGUGCCCCGACAGUCCAACAAAAGAACAGUUCCAAAUGCAGUUUACAACCGUGUGAUUUAGAAAUGGAGCAUGAAUACAGAUUAUGAGAACUAUGAAAUAUAAAGCACAAAUAAUCAGAAUUGUAGCAAGCUUGUACCAAAUUUUUCUUAAGGCAAGUGGUCCUUUCCAAUGUUACAUUUAACUACUUUUAAUUUAAGUUCUUUUCAUGUAUGUUAAAUAAGAACCAGUUUCUUACUACAGAUCUAUCAAAGCAAGUAUAUUUUUUCUAUGUAUUUGUAUAUUUUAAUUGCAUUUUUUCUUUUUGUUGUUGCUUUUUUUGCAUGCUAAUUUUAAAAUGUUUAAAUAUUUUCCUAUCAAAAUCUCAAAAUACAUGUUUUCUGUUAUCUCUUAGCCUUAUGGUAAUUAGUUUCAAAUGUAUACAUAACAAUAAAACUUAUUUUCUUCACUUUAACAUUUAGAGAGCUAGAUCGAUUGGGGAUUAUCUCAUUAUGAAGUUUAGUCAAAAUCUCACUUCACUAAGACUUGUAUUUGUGUUUAUAUGCCUGUACACAUUUUAUUACAACUUUCAGGUUAAGAUGCUGAGUAGAGCUUAGUGCUCCUCAGAGGUAGGUAAUGAAAAGAACUACAAGUUAUAGGGAACAGGAAAAAGCAGUGUAGCAAGCUUAUCCAGAAGUUUUUUCAGUCAAGCCUAUUUCAUUCUUGUGGUUCUCUAGCCAUCAAGAAUUCUGGACAUACUUUCCAUUCAUCAGUAUAUGAUGUUUCCAUAUAUCAUCAGCUUAACAAGCACACAUUCUCUGCUGCCAACAGUACCAAUUUGUCAACCAAGCAACAAAUAUUCCUUGGUAAUCUGCUAUCAGAUAACAGUUUUCUCGUUGGCAUUUUUAUGAAUUAAAGCUUUCAAGGCUUAAGUAAGACUUACUUUUUUUUUCUUUGACUGCUAAUUCUAAAAUAAUUUAUCAUUGCAUGUUAAAAAUAAUAAAGAACUUUUUAUACAUAUUUCUCUACCAUUUUUCAGUGUUUUGGUCACGUUUCAGAUUUGUUUAGCAUAAUCCUGUACUACAUAUUAACAAAUGUUUGGUGUGUCUAGUUCAUCUCUCUCACUAUGAAGAUGGCUACACACUAUCAGCAAUGCACCCCUAUGAUAUACAAGUCUUCAUUGCCAAGUCACUCUGCCAAACAGUGUGUACACCUUUCUUGCAGUGGUAGUACUUUACUGUACUUCAAUCACUUCAGGAGUCUGGAUAUGUCAGCCCAAGGCCAAGGAGAUCAAGUUUGUGUCCAAGGUUACUUAGGUAAUUCUCUAAGAACAAUAGGUUUUUUUUUUUAAAGACACACACUACAUGUUGCUGAUCUGUGGGUUAGUGGCUCAAUCAUUGUGCACUGAUUCUCCACUGAUGCCUAGAUUGCCAUAAGUUUAUCUAUUGAUCUACAGAUCAAGUGAGUUUUUCUCAAAUCAAGUAGGGACUAAAUGGUCUAUUAAACAUGAGGUCAAGGAAAAAGGAUGAACAUUUCAAGGCUGCAGGAGGAACAUUAAACAUCUCUCUCACUGUGAAAAGAUUCUACCGAUCUACAAAUGAUCAACAUGUUUUAUCUAAAGUUCAUCUGCCAUUUCUUCAAAUGGAGCCAUAGUCAGAAUAAGGUUCAAAUGUAUCAGUUGUUUUUGUUGACAGAUAUCAAGUCAUUUCAGUUCUCAAUUAUUUUGUGCACCAAGUUACAAGAAAAAAAUUAAGCAAGAGAGGUCACUACACUAAGACUUUGUCUUCUCAUAAGAAUGGAUGGCUGCCUGGUCAUGUGAUAUGUGUGCUGGACUGUGUGUGGUCAUCUUGAUGCUCAUAUCUUGCCUGAUGACAUUUAUUCUGCUGGACAUUUGGUCAAGGAAGUAGAUUCUCUUCAGCUCUCAAGAAACAUUCAAAACAUGUCAAACAUUUGACAAGAAUAUCAAACAAGUGCAGUGUACAUACCAACAUGAUGAAGAUGUAGACCAACAUGAUGAAGAUGUAGACCAACAUGAUGAAGAUGUAGACCGACAUGAUGAAGAUGUAGGCCGACAUGAUGAAGAUGUAGACUGACAUGAUGAAGAUGUAGACUGACAUGAAGAUGAAAUGUAAACCAAAAUAUUGAUUAAGAGAUGUAUGGAAUAAAAAGUGAACAUCUUGAGAGGGAAAACAAUUCCUAGAGGCAAAGACACAGACACAGUAGAUACAUAAGAGAUUGUUUCCUUUUCUACCAUCAUUUAGAGCCUUUUUUGUGAGGGAACCUGCAUCUGAAAGAAAUGAACAUUUCCCUAAUGCUACUUCAAAUUCAGAUCUCCUCCCAACCUCAGGCUGAGUACCCGUGGUCACCUACUUUGUUACAUUACCAUAGCACUACAGACAGUGGAAAACAAAUUAUAUGAAGGAAUGCAACCACCAUCAGAUAUUGUUGUCUUUACAGACUCCCAAUCUACUCUGCAAGCACUUAACAGCAGCACCUCAAACAGCCCAAGAGAAUUGACAACACUCAUUGUGAUAAUCCACCAGAUGAUAUCAAAAUUAAAUAUCAAUAUUACACUACAGUGGAUCCCUGGACACAUUGGCAUCAUGGGAAUGAAAAGGCAGAUAAGCUAUCAAAGGCAGGUUCAUCUAUGGAACAACCAGAUAGACCUGUUAACUACCUCACCCUAAGGUCAAUGUUAGUCAACAAUCAUAAAGAGGAGUGGCUCAACCAAUGGGCAUCAGGAAACACAGGCAGAGCCAUGUACAAAGAAAUUACUGCACCUAACAAACUGGACAGUAUUAACUUCCUCCCCUGCAAAGAACAAUCUACAAUUUUCCAACUAAGAACAGGACACACUCCACUAUUAAAUUACCACCUGAACAAAAUAAACUCCACACAACUCCUCCUUUGCAGACACUGCGCCCACCCCUUUGAAACCGUAAACCAUAUCCUCUUUGAAUGCUCCUCCCUAAUCCACCUUAGGCAGACCCUACUUCCACUACAGCCCAACAUAACCAACACCCUGUACGGCAGUGCUGAACAACUGAAGAAAACAGCACACUUUUUUUCCUUGGCACAGUCUGCAAAAGAGCUUACAGCUCAGCAGCAAUAAAGCUGGCUAGAAGAAGAAGAAAAAGAGGUUACAUUACAAGAAGUGGUCGCAAAGUCAGAAAACCUAACAGAUGACAAUGAGUAGAACAAUCAUUUCUGAUACAGGUACAAGUACUCAAGUGAUGUACUUUGUAAGAACUAAUUAGGUGGAAUCACCAUAAUUGAUUUCUAUCUUGUUCUAUAUAUAGGUAUAUCUUGACAAUCAGUCCAGUCAUUGUUCAUUCUUUUUUAAUAUUCCUUUUGUUCCCUCAAUCAUCUUGUUGUUUCAGUUAAUGUUUUUAUCUUUUUGUUUUUGGAGGAGGGAGGGGCUGUGGUAUAUUAUUAUUAUUAUUGAAGUCGCUACAUUAUGCUUUUAAUUCAAUUUAUCAUCUCCCCUUCUUUUGUGUGCUAUCAUAUUAAUGUUCAUUAGUGUCACAUCCGUGCACAAUUUGUUCUAUGCUUUUUAUAGUGUAAAUAGUGACUUGACAUUAUUUAGAUAAAUUAUAUGUUAUAUUAUAUUUAAACUAAAACUGUUAGCAUUUUCUAUGAUGUUAUUAAUAUGAAUGUGUUUGUGUGUUGCUAUGAAUGCAUUUUAAGUUUUAGUCUGAAAUCAUAAAUAAGAAAUUGUUUCAUAAACAAAGAUUAUAUUAAUAUUUAAUAUUGUCAGACUUCACUAUAGCAUUGAGUUCAUCCCCAUAGUCUAUUUAAAACUUUCAAAUACUAAUUCACUUUGUCUUAUCUAAUGGUGAUCAUGGGGGUAUCCGUUAUCCAUAGUCUCUGGUUAGGGCUAGGAUGUAAUCUCUAUUUCUGAUGGAACACAUGUAAAACCAAGAAAACAAACAGUAGACCUAGACUUUAUUAACAGGUCAUGCAAGCAUUUUUUUAUAAUUGUGAACUGAUGCUCUCAGAGCUAUUUUUAUGUAUUUUUAUUUUUGCUACUUUUGUAGACUAGUGCUAAGCUGUAUGCUUAUACUUCCGCCUAUUAUUAUAUGGGUUAGGGCGAUGCUGUUUCCUGUACUGUUGACCAGAGUGUGUCAGUUUUAAUUAUUCUGUACUUGGAACUGCCUUUAAGUUUCAGAAUUUAUUUUUUUUUCUAUUUGUAAAGCUACUUUAUAUAUAUAGUUAUAUAUUAUGGUACAUUAUUUUUCUAAUUGAAACAACUGUCAAAAUAAUUGGCAGUUUGUUUUUUUAAAGUUUGUUUUAAAAUGAUGGCCACUUCUAAUGUUUAUGUACUAGAUCUUUUCCUAAUUUUUUUGUUUUUUUUAUCUGCAGUGUUUUGUAACUGCUGCUUUGCUCAUUUGAAUUAAAGUAUCAUUUUGUUA